rnacentral:rRNA from 1 species
AACGAACGCUGGCGGCAGGCUUAACACAUGCAAGUCGAACGCCCCGCAAGGGGAGUGGCAGACGGGUGAGUAACGCGUGGGAAUCUACCCAGUUCUGCGGAACAACAGUUGGAAACGACUGCUAAUACCGCAUACGCCCUACGGGGGAAAGAUUUAAUCGGAAUUGGAUGAGCCGGCGUUGGAUUAGCUAGUUGGUGAGGUAAUGGCUCACCAAGGCGACGAUCCAUAGCUGGUCGGAGAGGAUGAUCAGCCACACUGGGACUGAGACACGGCCCAGACUCCUACGGGAGGCAGCAGGGGGGAAUAUUGGACAAUGGGCGCAAGCCUGAUCCAGUCAUGCGGCGUGAGUGAUGAAGGCCUUAGGGUUGUAAAGCUCUUUCAGUGGGGAAGAUAAUGACGGUACCCACAGAAGAAGCCCCGGCUAACUUCGUGCCAGCCGCCGCCGUAAUAC